rnacentral:tRNA from 1 species
GGGAAUGUGGUUUAAUGGUAGAGUGCUUGCCUGGCAUGCAUGGGGCCCAGGGUUCAAUUCCUUGGUAUCACA